rnacentral:rRNA from 1 species
GACGCAUGGCUGGCCCGCUAAAGCAUGCAGUCGAGCGAUGGAUUAAAGAGCUUGCUCUUAUGAAGUUAGCGGCGGACGGGUGAGUAACACGUGGGUAACCUGCCCAUAAGACUGGGAUAACUCCGGGAAACCGGGGCUAAUACCGGAUAACAUUUUGAACCGCAUGGUUCGAAAUUGAAAGGCGGCUUCGGCUGUCACUUAUGGAUGGACCCGCGUCGCAUUAGCUAGUUGGUGAGGUAACGGCUCACCAAGGCAACGAUGCGUAGCCCACCUGAGAGGGUGAUCGGCCACACUGGGACUGAGACACGGCCCAGACUCCUACGGGAGGCAGCAGUAGGGAAUCUUCCGCAAUGGACGAAAGUCUGACGGAGCAACGCCGCGUGAGUGAUGAAGGCUUUCGGGUCGUAAAACUCUGUUGUUAGGGAAGAACAAGUGCUAGUUGAAUAAGCUGGCACCUUGACGGUACCUAACCAGAAAGCCACGGCUAACUACGUGCCAGCAGCCGCGGUAAUACGUAGGUGGCAAGCGUUAUCCGGAAUUAUUGGGCGUAAAGCGCGCGCAGGUGGUUUCUUAAGUCUGAUGUGAAAGCCCACGGCUCAACCGUGGAGGGUCAUUGGAAACUGGGAGACUUGAGUGCAGAAGAGGAAAGUGGAAUUCCAUGUGUAGCGGUGAAAUGCGUAGAGAUAUGGAGGAACACCAGUGGCGAAGCGACUUUCUGGUCUGUAACUGACACUGAGGCGCGAAAGCGUGGGGAGCAAACAGGAUUAAUACCCUGGUAGUCCACGCCGUAAACGAUGAGUGCUAAGUGUUAGAGGGUUUCCGCCCUUUAGUGCUGAAUUAACGCAUUAAGCACUCCGCCCGCGGAGUACAGCCGCACGCUGGAACUCAAUGAUUUGAAAGAGGGCGCGCCACAAUCGGUGGAGCAUGUGGUUUAAUUCUAAGCAACGCCGCACAAACAUAACCACGGCCUGGACAUCCUCUGACAACCCUAUAGAUAGGGCUGUGUGCUUCCGCCAGAGGAGGGACAGUGGUGGCAUGGGUGUCGUCCUCCUCCUCCCAUGAGAUGAUGAGGUAAGUACCGUCAACGACCCCACCGUUGACCUCAUUGCAUCAUCUACUUUUGGAUAUGUAAGAGCACUGCCCGGUGACAGCCAGAAGAGAAGGAGGGGGGGGAGGUGCAGAUCUAUCAUCCAACAUCUC